rnacentral:rRNA from 1 species
UACGAAGGGGGGCUAGCGUUGCUCGGGAUUAUUGGGCGUAAAGAGCUCGUAGGCGGCUUGUCACGUCGGGUGUGAAAGCCCGGGGCUUAACCCCGGGUCUGCAUUCGAUACGGGCUAGCUAGAGUGUGGUAGGGGAGAUCGGAAUUCCUGGUGUAGCGGUGAAAUGCGCAGAUAUCAGGAGGAACACCGGUGGCGAAGGCGGAUCUCUGGGCCAUUACUGACGCUGAGGAGCGAAAGCGUGGGGAGCGAACAGG